rnacentral:lncRNA from 1 species
CCCGAAACACACACUUUCUAUCUUAUAUGCGGCGAGUGUACAAUCACACUCGAGGACGUAGAGUUAUAACUCAGUCUACUAGUAGAUGGGUCAGUUGUCAUGGAAUCAGGGAUCGUUCUCGGUAAAGAAGACCUCUGCGCGACAUUAUUGGGCAAGGUCUCGAACUCGUUCGAAGGUGGCUGGAUACAGAUGAAGUGGUUGGAGACCAAUUUCAAGAAGCUUCCUC